rnacentral:rRNA from 1 species
GUACCUGACNAGAAAGCCCCGGCUAACUAUGUGCCAGCAGCCGCNNNNNNNCAUAGGGGGCGAGCGUUAUCCGGAAUUAUUGGGCGUAAAGCGUGCGUAGGCGGUUUAUUAAGUCUGGUGUGAAAUUUCACAGCUUAACUGUGAAGGGUCAUUGGAAACUGGUAAACUUGAGUACGGUAGAGGUAAGUGGAAUUCCAAGUGGAGCGGUGGAAUGCGUAGAUAUUUGGAGGAACACCAGUGGCGAAGGCGGCUUACUGGGCCGGAACUGACGCUGAGGCACGAAAGCGUGGGGAGCAAACAGGAUUAGAUACCCUGGUAGUCCACGCUGUAAACGAUGAGUAUUAAGUGUCGGGCGAAAGCUCGGUGCUGUAGUUAACACAAUAAAUACUCCGCCUGGGGAGUACGGUCGCAAGACUGAAACUCAAAGGAAUUGACGG